UACGUAGGGGGCAAGCGUUGUCCGGAAUCAUUGGGCGUAAAGCGCACGUAGGCGGCGCAGUAAGUCGGACGUGAAAUCCCUCGGCUCAACCGAGGACGUGCAUCCGAAACUACUGUGCUCGAGUAUGGAAGAGGGUCGCGGAAUUCUCGGUGUAGAGGUGAAAUUCGUAGAUAUCGGGAGGAACACCAGUGGCGAAGGCGGCGACCUGGGCCAAUACUGACGCUGAGGUGCGAAAGCGUGGGGAGCGAACAGG
rnacentral:rRNA from 1 species